rnacentral:rRNA from 1 species
CCUACGGGAGGCAGCAGUGAGGAAUAUUGGUCAAUGGACGAGAGUCUGAACCAGCCAAGUAGCGUGAAGGAUGACUGCCCUAUGGGUUGUAAACUUCUUUUAUAUGGGAAUAAAACGUUCCACGUGUGGGAUUUUGUAUGUACCAUAUAAAUAAGGAUCGGCUAACUCCGUGCCAGCAGCCGCGGUAAUACGGAGGAUCCGAGCGUUAUCCGGAUUUAUUGGGUUUAAAGGGAGCGUAGGUGGAUUGUUAAGUCAGUUGUGAAAGUUUGCGGCUCAACCGUAAAAUUGCAGUUGAAACUGGCAGUCUUGAGUACAGUAGAGGUGGGCGGAAUUCGUGGUGUAGCGGUGAAAUGCUUAGAUAUCACGAAGAACUCCGAUUGCGAAGGCAGUUCACUGGACUGCAACUGACACUGAGGCUCGAAAGUGUGGGUAUCAAACAGGAUUAGAUACCCGAGUAGUC